UACGUAGGGGGCUAGCGUUGUCCGGAAUCAUUGGGCGUAAAGCGCGUGUAGGCGGUUCGGUAAGUCCGCUGUGAAAGUCGGGGGGCUCAACCCUCGAAUGCCGGUGGAUACUGUCGGGCUAGAGUGCGGAAGAGGCGAGUGGAAUUCCUGGUGUAGCGGUGAAAUGCGCAGAUAUCAGGAGGAACACCAAUUGCGAAGGCAGCUCGCUGGGACGUUACUGACGCUGAGACGCGAAAGCGUGGGGAGCAAACAGG
rnacentral:rRNA from 1 species